rnacentral:rRNA from 1 species
GAUGAACGCUGGCUACAGGCUUAACACAUGCCAGUCGAGGGGAAACGACGGGGAAGCUUGCUUCCCCGGGCGUCGACCGGCGCACGGGUGAGUAACGCGUAUCCAACCUGCCUCUGACUGAGGGAUAACCCGUCGAAAGUCGGCCUAAUACCUCAUGGCAUCGUCUGCGGGCAUCCAACGACGAUUAAAGAUUUCAUCGGUCAGGGAUGGGGAUGCGUCUGAUUAGCUUGUUGGCGGGGUAACGGCCCACCAAGGCUACGAUCAGUGGGGGUUCUGAGAGGAAGGUCCCCCACAUUGGAACUGAGACACGGUCCAAACUCCUACGGGAGGCAGCAGUGAGGAAGAUUGGUCAAUGGGCGGGAGCCUGAACCAGCCAAGUAGCGUGCAGGAUGACGGCCCUAUGGGUUGUAAACUGCUUUUAGGCGGGGAUAAAGUGAGGGACGUGUCCUUCAUUGCAGGUACCGCAUGAAUAAGGACCGGCUAAUUCCGUG